CCCUGUUGUCUCAUUGAGCCAUGUCGUAAUACUCGAAGAUCCGAAUGUUCGAGCAAUGGCGUAGUGUCCAUGUAUUUGUGUAUUUGUAUAUGCUGUACUCUUUCGCGUUUCGAUGGUAGUCCAUGUGAGUUAGAGUGGCGACGAAUUUAAUGCGUGAAUUGUAAAAGAACCGAACCUAUAUUCGUCUCGUUCGUGCAACUUUGUUUCACUUACGUUUUAUUAUUAUUCGAUGACAGAAUAAACAGAAUUUUUGUUAUUGGCUAUAUGAAUACACUCGACUUACACAUUGUACAAUGAUGUGAGCGUAAACAUUACAUCGUAUUACUUAACAAAAGACAAAAUCAAAAGACACACAGGAAUUUGGGAAAAAAUUUGGUCCUAAACAUUAAAAACAACUAGAGUGGCAUUAUUUUUUAUUAAAGAAGUUGUAAAAAAAGAUCAAUAUAAGGUUUAUUUUGAUCAGUGUGAGUCGAAAAAAAAAAUGUUGACAGAAUGAAAGAUAGUGAAUUCUAUGUGUAUUCAUUCAAUGGGUGUUCAAAAAUAUAUAGCUGAACUGAAAGAAGAAAAAAAGCCACUACAAGACAAGAAAAUGAGCUGAGUGUUGUCGGCGAAAUACAAAUUGCGCUACAAAGACAAAUGCUACGGUUUGAACAGUGACCAAGUAAAACAAUUAGAAGAACAUUGCUAUAUUGAAAAAAAUCAGUGAUUUUAUUUUGAGUUUAAACUGAAUUUUGAUUCUAAUAAAAUAUUGAAAUAAAAUCGUGACCAAAAAAAAAAAUCAAAUUAGAAUCAGGGAGAAGGAAAAGGAAAAAAAGUUGAGUUCCGAAAAUCAAAUUGAUGUAGUGGUGUGCAUGCAUUAUAGUGAUAUCAUCGUCGUGAAUUCAGUGUUUAUUUUAUAUUAUUAUUUUUAUAUAUAUACGUAUAUAAUUUGAUCAUCUAAUUUUUUGAUAAAUCAUGUCUCGUUCAUUUUGGAAGUGGUUUUAAAUCGUCUCUGCACGAGAUAAUAAAGUUAAUGUAUUGGCCUUGAAAUUGGUUGGUAGAUACAAAUACCACCCGAACUUUGU